UAUAAGUGCAAAUAAUUCAAACAAAUAAACAAGACAUGGUACUUUUAUUACAUAAAGUGACCAAUACAUUUCUAUCUGUUGCAAACUUUGAAGAAAAAAUAUGGCUGAAAUUUUUAAGUUUGUUUAUUUAAUAUUUCUCUUUAUUUCCUUAUUUUUUGUCGACGUUACUGGUAAACAAAUCUUGUACUCUUUUAAUUUGAACUUUCUUAUUUAUCUUGUACAAAAUAACUCACUUCUUUCAGUAAUUUCUUUUAUUACAGCAACAAGAUUAUUGAGAAGUUGCAAGAGGGAUAUUGAUUGUUUCCUGUGGUAUUGUAUACCUCCUUUUGCUCCAAAAUGCAUUUCUUCUAAAUGUAAGUGUGGAAUUAAAAGUAAACUCGAUCCAUUCUAAGAGAUUUAUAUUGUAAUCUCAAAUUAAGGGAGGGAAUUAAAAUUUUAUUUGAGAUAGGCAUUAGAGCUCCUAUGAUUAAUUAAUAAUAGAAAUUAUUCUCUUCAGUUGAUGUACUCUACAAUGUGGAAAAGAAUUUAUUCAAAAAAACAAUAAUAUUGAAAAGAAAGAGUAACUGAAAUUAUUCUCUUUAGGUGAUAUUUUAUUUAGACACCAGAAGAUUCAAGUUGAAACAUCGGAAUAAAUGUACAUGAAUUUAUAAAUGGCAAAAUGGGUGAACCGUCCAGACCCCAUUACCAUUAUGUAAAAAAUGGUGACAAGACGGGCCAACUAGAAGUAGUGAGUUGAAUAUCACACUUUUGGCUGACGGGUUGUCGGGCAACCCCACCAAGUUCUUAAGUAAAAUUUUAUUAAUUAAAAAACUUACAAAGAUAAUAUAUAAAAAUAAUUAAAUUAAAGAAUAUUUUAUAUAACAAAAAUAUGUAUUUAUUGAGUCUAUAAAAAUUAUCAUUUUGAAGCUAGAUUCAUAAUACGUCAUAAAAUAUCUAGAAUAAUACAACAAGACAGCAAAAAUAAAUAGUUAAUGAGUUUACCAAUUCAAAAAAUAUUAAUAACACGAGUUUAAAGGCAUAAAACUAGAGUAAUAUACAAAGUUACUUUAGUCAAAAUAUUAAAGAAGUUUUUCUUUUCUUUCUAUUUUAUAAAUCAAAUAUAAGAGAAAAUAUAAAAAAUCGAAAAUAUAAAUCAAUUAUUUGUAAUUAAUACGUCAAAAGAUCGAAGAUAAAACAUUUAAUUUUAUUACUACUAAGCACGACUUGUCAACCCACUCCGCCAGUGUCGAGAUCACUUAAGAGAGAGGAUCCCAAACAGUUACGAUGCUUGAAUGGGCACAAUAAGAUAAGUUAAAGUUAACUAUAUAUAUAAGUGAUGCAUAAUUUUAGGCAUCAACCGACAAACUUAGCGAUGAAUGUUGAUAUCAGAACUAUAAGAUUAGACGAGUAUUUUGAAAACAAAAGUUCAAAUUCUCUUGAGGUGAAUAGGGUAAUUUAACUUAAUAGAUUCUAACAAUAUGAUAAGCCAUAAGAAAAAAUAUAUUUAAUACUUACCUGUCUUUGUUAAUCGAUAUUUUUAUUACGACCAUAAAACCGUGCAAUAGUUGUGUGUUCGAUAUUUUAUAAUAAACUUUUAAAUAUUUUAAUACUAUAAUGUCUACUUUAAUAUGUAACCGAUGACGUGAAAGCCUGACUAUGUUUUUAUAGAAAAUUAUUUUUCGAAAAAAUAAAAUUCAACUAUUCUGUGCUUUUUUAUUUCAUCAAUUUAAAUUUUUUUAUUUUUUUUUAAUUGUUUGCCCCUAUGUAUAAUAAAAAUGUAUAUAUUAAAUAAGAGGAAAAUAAUGAAAGAUCGUCCUUAUCCAUUGUGCGAGCUAAAUAGACAAAUAUGAAAAUUUGGUUAAUUAUCUAAAAUACAUUUAAUAAUGAUUCUAAUGCUAAGAAGUUUUGUUGAAGAUCUAUAUAUAAGUGCAAAUAAUUGAAACAAAUAAACAAGACAUAGUAGUUUUAUUACAUAAAGUGCCAAUACAUUUGCAAAUUUUGAAGAAAAAAUAUGGCUGAAAUUUUAAAGUUUAUUUAUUUAAUAAUCCUCUUCAUUUCCUUAUUUCUUGUUGUAACUGACGUUACUGGUAAAUAAAUUUUGUACUCUUUUGAACUUUUUUAUUUAUCUUAUAUACUACAAAAUAACUCACCUCUUUCAGGAACUUUGUUUUUAUUACAGCAGCAAGGGUCUUGAUACCAUGCAAGGAAACAAUUGAUUGUUUCUGGUGGUUUUGUAUAUCUCCUUUGGUUCCAAAAUGCACUUCUUUUAAAUGCAAGUGUGUGGAAUUAAUAAAAGUAAACUCGGUCGAUUGUAAGAGAUUUAUAUUGUAAUCUCAAAUUAAAGGACGGAAUUAAAAUAGAAAUUAUUCUCUGUAGUUGAUGUACUCUACAAUAUGGAAAAGAAUUUACGCAAAAAUAAUGAAAAGAAAGAGUAGCUGAAAUAAUAUAAUAUAUUUUAUUUAUACACCGGAAACUUCAAAUUGAAAUAUGGUUGGUAAAACGGGUCCAUUCUGGCCCCGUCGGCAAUCCGUAAAAUAUGGUGUAAGACAAGACGGGCCAAUUAGAAGAAGUGGUUGAAUAUCUCACUCGGGAGUAACAUGAGUUUAAAGACAUAAAACUAGAGUAAUAUAAACAGUAAAAAAGAAAACUAGGGUAAUAUAAAAAAUUACUUUAGUGAAAACAUUAAAGAAAUUAAUUAUUUCUUUUCUUUCUAUUUUAUAAGUCAAAUAUAAGGUAAAUGUAAAAAGUUGUUUGUAAUUUAUACGUUAAAAAGAGGUUAAAAAAUUUAAUUUUAUUACUACUAAGUUCGACGGGUCAAAAAAUGAGAGGUAGCGGGAGACAAUGUAAGAGAAAGCGUAGGAAGAAACAUAUUCUUUUUUAUAGCUGGUUCUGCCUCUCUCUUUUGGUGGUUGUAGCGGUUUCUAAUUUCUGGGAGUUUUUAUAUGGUGUUUUACAUUGUGUAUCUCUUUUUUCUUACCUUGUCUUUAUUUUAUCAUUGAAUACUUGUAAUAAUUCUUAUUUUUACUAGGACUCCUGCGAGUUCAUAUUAAUAAAAAUUAAGUUUUCAUAAACUACCUAGAAAAAACUUUUAAUAGUACAUAAAGUUUAUUUAUUUAUACGCAUAAGUUUUUUUCUUAAAUUCAAAAAUAAGUUGAUGAAGAUGAAGAGAUGAAGAUGCUCCCACCAAGAUGAUGCUCGAACGGGCACUCAACGGGCAUAGUUAAAUAAGUUAACUAUAAGAACAUGUUGGAUAAUUUUAGGUAUCAACCGACGAACUUAGCGAUGUAUGUUGGUAUCAGAACUAUAAGACUAGACAAGUGUUUUGAAAACACAAGUUCAAAUUAUCUUGAGGUGAAUAGGGUAAUUUAACUUAAUAUAUAACAAUAUGAUAAGCCAUAAGAAAAAAUAUAUUUAAUACUUACAUGUCUCUGUUAAUCGAUAUUUUUACUACGAUUAUAAAGGUGAAAUUUUAGUCGUUAAUCUACUUAACAAAAAAUAUAUAACUGAGACAAUUAAUUUCACUUUUAUUAGGCUAAUUCAACAAAUGAUCGAGAUUGGGCUGAAUUUUCACUAUGUACAAUGGUUAAUAUAGUGAUUAUUCUUGAACUUACAACUUGAAGCUUCUAGUGUCCAAAUAAAAUAUCAUAGUGUUUCAGCUACUAAUUAUUUUCCAUAUUUAUGUGCAACUUUUGUUUUCUUACUUUCCUGGAGUAUUUCGUAGGCUCUAAAAUGAGUUAUUUCAAUAAAAAAUUGUUGAUUAAAAAAAGUUGAAAUAGAUAGAGAAAAACACUAUUAUAAUAACAGUAUUUUUUAAGCUCAUUUUAUAACUAUCCUAGAUGAAAUUUUAACUUCGUCCUUUAAAAUUACAAUAUCAAUUUUUUACGACAUUUACAUUUAAAAGAAAUACAUUUUGGAAGUAUAGGAGGUACACACAAAAACCGAGGACAGUCGUAAUCAUCUCUGCACUUUUGGCCCCGCAUUUCUGUAGUAUAAAAAUAACAAAUAUAUAUUACUAAUUAAAAUGGUGAAUUAUUUUGUAUAAGAUAAACAUGAAAAUUCAAAAGGAUACAUGAAUUUGUUUACCUGUAAUAUUAACUACAACAACAAAUAAAGAAAUAGAUAGGAUUAAUAAAUAAACAAACUUAAUAAUUUCACCCAUAUAAAUAAACUAGGAAUGCCUAGUUUUAAACUAUGUUUUUCUUAAUAGAGUUUUGGUUUGGUCCCCUCCAUUUGUACUUGCUUCUUUUAUUUUAUAAUAUUUUGUGUGGUGGUUAGCUCUUUGCUUCCACCUUUUGAUCAAAAAAAAAAAAAUUCACCCAUAUAUUUUGUUUGAAUAAACUUGNN
rnacentral:lncRNA from 1 species